UGGCGGACGGGUGAGUAAUGUCUGGGAAACUGCCCGAUGGAGGGGGAUAACUACUGGAAACGGUAGCUAAUACCGCAUAACGUCGCAAGACCAAAGAGGGGGACCUUCGGGCCUCUUGCCAUCGGAUGUGCCCAGAUGGGAUUAGCUAGUAGGUGGGGUAACGACUCACCUAGGCGACGAUCCCUAGCUGGUCUGAGAGGAUGACCAGCCACACUGGAACUGAGACACGGUCCAG
rnacentral:rRNA from 1 species